rnacentral:misc_RNA from 1 species
GAUGAAGAACGUAGCGAAAUGCGAUAAGUAAUGUGAAUUGCAGAAUUCAGUGAAUCAUCGAAUCUUUGAACGCACAUUGCGCCCGGUAGUAUUCUGCCGGGCAUGCCUGUUCGAGCGUCAUUUCAACCAUCAAGCCCCAGCGCUUGUGUUGGGGGCCUGCGGCUGCCGCAGCCCCCCAAAAGCAGUGGCGGGCUCGCUAUCACACCGAGUGCAGUAGUUCAUCUUCUCUCCGGUCUUGUGAGGCGGGUUCCGGCCGUGAAACACCCCACUACAUUCAAGGUUGACCUCGAAUCAGGUAGGAAUACCCGCUGAACUUAAGCAUAUCAAUAAGCGGAGGA